UGAAGCUAAGGAAUAGACAGCAUUAGGAGGUCUUUCCCUCCGCCUGUGUCCCUGCCUGACUCCCCAGCAGGUGGGAGGCUGUUCCUGCACCCGGUGGAAUAUAAGAGGAAGCAUGUACUUGGGACAGAGGGACUCUCAAGCAAGGCUUGCUGGCAUGCACCCAGGCUGGAAGCUGGCAGGAAGCUUGUGAGCCCCUCAGCAGGCCACAACCUUCUGGGGCGGCUUUCUCCUCCCUCUCAUCAUGCCUGGGAGCCCCUGCCGUCCUCGCUGUUAAACAUUGUCUAUCUGGUUUUCACUUAGGCUGGGUCAAGACUCCCGCCUCAGUCAUCUGAAGCAGGAUGACCUUGCACAGAGACUGUCAGCUGUUCGGGAUAUUUGUUUUUUGUUUUUUUGUUGGGAUAUUUGAUUUAGUUUGUUUCAGAACUGUUUUGAAAUCCGAGGAGCUGGACUUAGAGCAGAGUAACUCCAACUAUCUAGGCCCAUGACAGGUGGAGCAAAUGGGAUUUUUAAAACCAGCAGCCUCUGGUCCAGCCUCCUUCUUUUGCAAGCGAGAAACUGCGGCCUCUCUCAAGGUCACAGGGCAUCUGGGUGAGAACUAGGGUCCCUGGAUCUGCAUUCCACAGUGAGGUGGGUGUGGUUCCUGCCAGGUAGUGUUUACAGAUGUGCCAUCUCAGGGCAAGUGAAGUUCUUCUGAAGUUCUUCGUGUACUUGAUUGAGUCGUUUUAAACUUUUCUGCAAAUCAAAAGGAGCAACAUUUCCUGGGUGACUUCAGUCUUCAGUGCAAUUGUCGCUCUCAGCCUGUUCCACCAGUUUUCUGAAUGUGGAGUCCUGCAGCUGGAAGACGUCCUGCAGAGGUGCUGGAGCACUCAAACAAGGAAAGAAUUCAUUUUGGUGCAGCUUAUGUUGAGGGCACUUUGUGAGCUGCUGGAGAUAACCAGGCAUCUUCUGCUGUGUGUCCUGGAGAACUUAUGUUCCUCAGUGGAGUUCUCUAUCAACAUGCCCUCUUUCUUGUUGCUGGGAGCCAUCUGCAUCUUCCUGUUUUCCAGAGUACCCCCAUGCCUCCCUCUUCAGAAAGUCCACGUGAGCAAGGAGACCAUUGGGAAGAUUUCGGCUGCCAGUAAAAUGAUGUGGUGCUCAGCCGCCAUGGACAUCCUCUUCCUGUUAGAUGGCUCUCACAGUGUUGGGAAGGGGAGCUUUGAGAGGUCCAAGCACUUUGCCAUCACAGUCUGUGAUGCUCUGGACAUCAGCCCUGAGAAGGUCAGAGUGGGAGCAUUCCAAUUUGGUUCCAUGCCUCAUCUGGAAUUCCCCUUGGAUUCAUUUUCAACCCGACAGGAAGUGAAGGCACAAAUAAAGAGGAUGGUUUUCAACGGGGGACGCACGGAGACAGGCCUUGCCCUGAGACACCUUCUUCGCAGAGGAUUCCCCGGGGGCAGAAAUGGCUCUGUGCCCCAGUCUCUCGUCAUUGUCACCGACGGGAAGUCCCAGGGGCAGGUGGCGCUGCUGGCCAAGCAGCUGAAGGAAAAAGGCAUCAUUGUGUUUGCGGUGGGCAUCCGGUUUCCCAGGUGGGCGGAGCUGCGCACUCUGGCCAGCGAGCCCCAGGAGCAGCACGUGCUGUUGGCCGAGCAAGUGGAGGACGCCACCAACGGCCUCCUCAGCACCCUCACCAGCUCUGCCCUCUGCAGCCCUGCUGCUCCAGACUGCAGGGCCCAGGCUCAUCCCUGUGCGCACAGGACGCUGGAGACCAUCAGGGAGCUGGCUGGCACCGCCCCGUGCUGGAGAGGAGCCCCGCGGGCUGACGCAGUGCUGGCCACACGCUGUCCCUUCUAUAGCUGGAAGAGAGUAUUGCUAAGCCACCCUGCCACCUGCUAUAGGACCACCUGUCCAGGUGCUUGUGACUCCCACCCUUGCCAGAAUGGAGGCACAUGCAUUCCGGAAGGACUGGACAGGUACCAUUGUCUCUGCCCAUUGGCCUUCGGAGGGGAAGCCAACUGCGCAGCCCCAAAGCUGAGCCUGGAGUGCAGGAUCGAUGUCCUCUUCCUGCUGGACCGCUCCUCAAGCACUGCCCUGGAGGGCUUCCUGCGGGCCAAGGCCUUCGUGAAGCGCUUUGUGCAGGCUGUACUGAGCGAGGACUCACGGGCCCGAGUGGGAGUGGCCGGGUACAGCAGGGAGCUGGUGGUGGCAGUGCCUGUGGGGGAGUACCAGGACAUGCCAGACCUGGUUAGGAGUCUCGAUGGCAUCGCAUUCAGCGGCGGCCCCACCUUCACAGGCAGUGCCUUGCGUCAGGUGGCAGAGCGUGGCUUUGGGAGUGCCGCCAGGCCAGGCCAGGCUCGGCCGCAAAGGGUGGUGGUCCUGCUCACAGAGUCACCCUCUCAGGAUGAGGUGGCUGGCCCAGCGAGUCGUGUGAGAGCCCACGACCUCCUGCUGCUGGCCCUGGGCAGCGAGGCUGUGCGGGCAGAGCUGGAGGAGAUCACAGGCAGCCCGAGGCAUGUGAUGGUCUAUGCAGAGCCUCAGGACCUGUUCAGCAAAGUCCCUGAGCUGCAGGAGAAGCUGUGCGUCCGGCCACGGUCAGGCUGCCAGGCACAAUCAGUGGACCUCAUCUUCCUGUUGGACGCCUCAGCCUCAGUGGGACCUGAGAACUUUGCUCAGAUGCAGAGCUUUGUGAGGAGCUGUGCCCUCCAGUUUGAUGUGAACCCUGACGUGACGCAGGUCGGCCUGGUGGUGUAUGGCGGCUGGGCGCAGACAGCCUUCGGGCUGGACGCCCAUCUCACACGUGCUGCUGUACUGCGGGCCAUGAGCCAGGCCCCCUACCUGGGAGGAGUGGGCUCAGCCGGCAUGGCCUUGCUGCACAUCUAUGACAAGGUGAUGACCGUCCAGAGGGGCGCCCGGCCUGGGGUCCUCAAGGUCGUGGUGAUGGUCACAGGUGGGAGGGGGGCAGAGGAUGCGGCUGCCCCUGCCCAGAAGCUGAGAAGUAGUGGCAUCUCUGUCUUGGUCGUGGGCGUGGGCCCUGUUCUGAGGGAUGCACUGAGGCGGCUAGCCGGUCCUCAGCAUGCCCUGAUCCAUGUAGCGGCUUACUCUGACCUGCAGUACCACCAGGACGCACUCAUCGAGUGGAUAUGCAGAGAAGCCAAGCGGCCCGUCAACCUCUGCAUGCCCAGCCCAUGCAUGCACGAGGGCAUUUGUGUUCUACGGCGAGGGAGCUACCUCUGCAAAUGCCGAGAUGGCUGGGAGGGUCCCCACUGCGAGAACCGGGUCUUGAGAGGAGACGCCCCCAAGGCACGUGGCUCCCGCCAGGAUCCCGCUGGAGGGCUGCACACACCUGGCUCCCAGCACCUGCAGUGGCCUGGGCACCCUGGGAGCUGAGAGGGCACUGCCUUGGGCAGAGCUCAUCUUCUGGGGCCUUGGGUGUCUGCUCCCUGCUCGGUGCACAGCCCCCUUCCUACUAGCCUCCACCAGGGACACGCUGCAGCCUGUGGUGCGUGGGACAACAGGAGCAGCUGAUGUCACCUACUGCCAGGGAUAGGGAUGCUGAAAAUGCUUCUUGAUGUAUCAACAAGAAUCAAGAAAGAAUCUCUAGAAGGAGCCCACAGCACCCCAGAGCCCUGGUACCACAGUGUCUCAGAUGAGUGUCCGGUCACCUUCAUCUGCUCACAUCCAGCCCUUAGUCUUGGCUGGGUGAAAGGAAGCCAAGCCACUGUUUCCUCAUCUCAGAGCACUCACAACAUCCAAAAACCUGGAACCUCGUAACUAGAAAAUUUCCAUCUAUAGACAGUGCUUGCUUAGGGGUAGGAGAGAGCUGGGGGCAAAUGGGGAGUUACUGCUGAUGGAGACAGCUUUUCUUUGUAGUGAUGUCUGCAUAGCUCCAAAUAUACUAAAAACUACCAGUGUACACUUUAAAUGGGUCAGUUGCAUGAUAUGUGCAUUAGAACUCAAUAAAGCUUAUGAAUGAGCGACUGUCCUCACACCUUCCUUCAUCGAUCCUAUUAUAAGCUUCCCAAGAAUCAGCUGUUUUCAAACCUGCUCUGCCAGUUCUGCCUGCUAGUGCCUCUCAGCAAUUUAAAUAUUAAAUGAGCACAGAGCUACAGAUGUGAGAUCUGAAUCAAAUGCUUCAGAAAGGUUCCACAGAGGUGAGUUGCUAGGACACAAGAUAUGAGAAUGAUUUAGAAAGCAAUCUAGAAGGCCUCAGAUUUCUCUGCAAGAACCUUAGAAUUAAGGGUGGCGCCAGCCGGCUGGCCCAGUUUCAGAAAGCCU